GACUACAAUGCAUAGAAAUGUACAUGUAGACACCACCUUGAGCUGGGUGGACCUUUCCAUCGGAUAUGUCAGCAUGUCCGCCAUACUGGAUGUGGUGAUCCUAUCAGCCACACAAUCUGCAAAUUAUAUUCGUAAAAUGGUGUCCGAAUGGUUAGAUACAAUCAAAAGUAUUGGUUCAGUCUCAAUCCCAUGCGUUCUGGCUUUGAGUGUAAAACGGUUGAUCCGAAUCUCCAAGCAGAAAAUAAACGAGGUAUCUUCACAGAUCGCUUUUCUUUGCCACACCCAAUACGGCUGCGACAUCAUCGUACCAUUCAGCACUCAAGGGUCUAUACUGAAAAUGUUGUCUAUGGUAAUAAUUGUAGCGUGUGUCGCACACGGUGCUAUUCUAGCUAGCAACUACACCUCGUGCGGCAGCGCUACCCAAAUAGAGUAUAGGAUUAUCAAAAAUAUGGAGCAAAGUACAGGUAAUAAUAAUUGUGCCACCCCAUGUAUCUCAUGUGCCCCCCUUAAGACUGAGAUCUGGCGACAUGCCGGUGUGUAUGUAUUGUAUAAAAAGAAUAAUGUGUCGCGGUAGGUAGCAGUGUGUCGCGAUUGUGAGAAAAGAUGACGCAGAAUGGGAACGCCAUGCAAAAAAGCCACUGACGUUCAACCGGAGCCAUGCGGUAUGCAUGAAAGUGCCUCAGAAGAAAGUUAGAAGUCAGACUGGUGAAAGAAAUCAGUGUACUCUUUCUUACGGCUGGAGCAGUUCCAACGGUGCCCUCGGAACUGGUGCUGGCACUCGUGGAUGGCGAUCUGGAUUCCCUGGAUGGCUGAGGCCGUCACGUCGGGGUUGCGCAUGCACACCUCCAGCUGGCGCCGGGUCAAC